UACGUAGGCAGCAAGCGUUGUUCGGAAUUACUGGGCGUAAAGAGUGUGUAGGCGGUGCUCUAAGUUUGGUGUGAAAUCUCCCGGCUCAACUGGGAGGGUGCGCCGAAGACUGGAGUGCUCGAGGGAUGGAGAGGUAAGCGGAAUUCCUGGUGUAGCGGUGAAAUGCGUAGAUAUCAGGAGGAACACCUGUGGUGUAGACAGCUUACUGGACAUCUUCUGACGCUGAGACACGAAAGCGUGGGUAG
rnacentral:rRNA from 1 species